CAAGGCUUGACAUAUAGGGAAAAGCGGCAGAGAUGUCGUGUCCGCAAGGGCUCUAUACAGGUGGUGCAUGGUUGUCGUCAGCUCGUGUCGUGAGAUGUUGGGUUAAGUCCCGCAACGAGCGCAACCCUCGUUCUGUGUUGCCAGCAUUUAGUUGGGGACUCACAGGAGACUGCCGGGGUUAACUCGGAGGAAGGUGGGGAUGACGUCAAAUCAUCAUGCCCCUUAUGUCUUGGGCUGCACGCAUGCUACAAUGGCCGAUACAAAGGGCUGCAAUACCGCAAGGUGGAGCGAAUCCCAAAAAGUCGGUCUCAGUUCGGAUUGAGGUCUGCAACUCGACCUCAUGAAGUCGGAGUUGCUAGUAAUC
rnacentral:rRNA from 1 species